GAGAGACUGAGGAUGCUUCCAGAUGCGAGGAAUCCCCUCAAUCCUCUCAGCAUUGCAUUGGGUGUGCCAGACAUACCUUGAGAUUUCCAGUGCAAUGCUGAUUGCAAUGCACAAAAAACAUAUUGCAAUACUGGUAUGGGAAAUUCAGCAGUGACCCUUGGUUUCCCAUAAUAAUUCCACUUACCUGUGCCUCUGGUGAUUGGCUCACUGGGGACUUCUGGGAGCCAGCGAAGUACUCAAAAUACAACAAAUGAAUGAGUCCUGGAAAUUCCCAGUGGGCCUUUCUCAUAUGUGGCUUGCCAGAUGUGCAGGUAAGCCGUAGUUUGCAGUGGACAUCUGGUGGGAUAAGACAAGAGGUAAUUGCAGGAUCCUGUUUAUAUCCUGCAAUGCCUCNUGGUGUCUGGAGGCAGCCUGAAAGAUAGUAAAGUACAAGAUGCAUGGAGUAAAUGGAGGGGAGGAGCGUCUCUCAUGAACUGUUUACUGAACUUUUUUCCAUUUUUGAAAGAAAAAUUUCUGUCCAAUAUCCUUGUAGUGAAAAUCUGUCUCUUCCAUUUUUCAGGUACGUCAAGAAUAGAUGUAGAUGAAAAAGAAGAGAAAAAUGAUGCCGAAUCUCCAUGGGAUUCAGAGUGUACUUUAGAAAGCCCCAGGAAGCCACCUAUUGAUUCCUUUGCUACAGCUCCUACCAGAAGGAUGGAAGAAUCUUGUGAUAGUAAGCUCAUUAUAAAUAUCCUUUUCUCUUCUGUUUUCUGAUACGUUUGUGGAAUCACAGGAUAGGAAUGGGCCAUUUAGGCCAUGAAGUACAACACCUGCUCCAUAUAGGAAUUCAGACCUACCCAGGCACAAAAGAUGGUUAUCCAGUAUCCUGCUGAAGACAUCUAUGUUGGGAAAGCCUCCUGACAUCUUAAGUAACUUGUUCAGAUGUUGGACUGUCCUGAUAUGUGUUAUUGUUCACUAGUUCAGUUGUGUCCGACUCUUCACGACCCCAUGGACCAAAGCACACCAGGCCCUUCUGUGCUCCACUGUCUCCCAAAAUUGGGCCAAGUUCAUAUUCAUUGCUUCCAUGACACUUUCUAUCCAUCUCAUCCUUCCUAUCUCCUUCUCUUUUUGCGUUCAAUCUUUUCCAGCAUUAGGAUCUUUUCCAAUGAGUCCUGUCUUCUCAUUAUGUAGCCAAAGUAUUGGGGCUUCAGCUUCAACAUUUGUCCUUCCAAUGAACACUCACAGUUGUUUGCUUUUAGGAUUUACUGAUUUUGUUUCCUUGCAGUCCAACAGAUUCUCAAAAGUCUUCUCUAGCACCACAAUUCAAAAGUAUCAAUUCUUUGGUGCUUAGACUUCCUUAUGGUCCAACUCUCACAGCCAUACAUUAUUACUGGGAAAACUAUGGGCUUGUUUCUUCAUCUUUGGC
rnacentral:lncRNA from 1 species